GCGCUUAACACAUGCAAGUCGCACGAGAAAGCGGGAGCAAUCUCGCAAGUAAAGUGGCGUACGGGUAAGUAACACGUGGAUGAUCUGCCCUUUAGUGGGGAAUAACCCUGGGAAACCGGGGCUAAUACCGCAUAAGCCCGAGAGGGGAAAGCAGCAAUGCGCUGAAGGAGGAGUCCGCGGCCGAUUAGCUGGUUGGGAGGGUAAAAGCCUACCAAGGCGAAGAUCGGUAGCCGGCCUGAGAGGGCACACGGCCACACUGGCACUGAAACACGGGCCAG
rnacentral:rRNA from 1 species